ensembl:lncRNA
CUUCCCAGCAGUUUCCCUGUUCUUCACUUACAAUUACAAUGUCCUCAGGUUUGUCAUCCUCUGUUGCGUUAUUCCCGUAAGGUCUUCCAUCUGUAUCAUAACUAGUUUCCAUCAGACAACCAGUCACGUCCAUGGAUUGCUGUUCUUGAUAAGUUGGUGGAGAGGAGUCUUGUUCAUUGGAUAUGUUGGCCAUAGACAACGGCACUGUACUUGCAGUCACCUCUUCAUCCAGCUCGUUUCGUGCUACCAUUAACUGCUCCUCACUAUGAGCGAUGUAGCCGUGCGAGGUGGAGGAGGAGGUGGUUGAGGGAUGAAGACAUCAUCUGCACCUUCAUCAUCCAUCACACUGCAGUACCUCAUUAUAGCAGUGGGAGCAGCAGAGACCACUAUCAUCAUCAGAGAGCAGAAUUUGAGGGCUGCGUCUAGGACCUCUUCCUUCCAUGUUGAAAGGUCUUUGAAGCAGUUUGUGGUGUUCUGUCUGCGUUGCCUUUUAAUUUCCUUUAAGUUUAAAUAAGAGACAUGAGUGUUAUUGAGGCUGAUAAGUGUCAG